GAUGAACGCUGGCGGCGUGCCUAAUACAUGCAAGUCGAGCGAACAGAUAAGGAGCUUGCUCCUUUGACGUUAGCGGCGGACGGGUGAGUAACACGUGGGUAACCUACCUAUAAGACUGGGAUAACUUCGGGAAACCGGAGCUAAUACCGGAUAAUAUUUCGAACCGCAUGGUUCGAUAGUGAAAGAUGGUUUUGCUAUCACUUAUAGAUGGACCCGCGCCGUAUUAGCUAGUUGGUAAGGUAACGGCUUACCAAGGCGACGAUACGUAGCCGACCUGAGAGGGUGAUCGGCCACACUGGAACUGAGACACGGUCCAGACUCCUACGGGAGGCAGCAGUAGGGAAUCUUCCGCAAUGGGCGAAAGCCUGACGGAGCAACGCCGCGUGCGUGAUGAAGGUCUUCGGAUCGUAAAACUCUGUUAUUAGGGAAGAACAUACGUGUAGGUAACUGUGCACGUCUUGACGGUACCUAAUCAGAAAGCCACGGCUAACUACGUG
rnacentral:rRNA from 1 species